rnacentral:rRNA from 1 species
UACGUAGGGUGCAAGCGUUGUCCGGAAUUAUUGGGCGUAAAGAGCUUGUAGGCGGUUUGUCGCGUCUGCUGUGAAAUCUCAAGGCUCAACCUUGAGCUUGCAGUGGGUACGGGCAGACUAGAGUGUGGUAGGGGGAGACUGGAAUUCCUGGUGUAGCGGUGAAAUGCGCAGAUAUCAGGAGGAACACCGAUGGCGAAGGCAGGUCUCUGGGCCACUACUGACGCUGAGAAGCGAAAGCAUGGGGAGCGAACAGG